CAGGCAAGGCAGCAGACAGCAGGAGUCUGGGACCGGAAAGACAGAGAGGCUCCUCCCAACCUGCCAGCCCUGCCCAGGGGUCUCUUCACUGCCUGGGGUCAGAUGGGCCAAUCAAUGCCUAGAGGGAAAAAGCAGAAACUGACAGAAACUCACAGUAGCAGAAUAAGGUCUCCACGCAGGCCUGAGUCAGGACAGAGCACAAGGUCCAUAGUCUACUGCUCAGGAAGAAGCCCACCAUUGCAUUAAAGUAACUCCCUCUAACCCAACAUGUCAUUAAUGUGGUCUCCUCACUGACUCUUGCAAUAGUAAAUGCUGAAGAGGACACAACUGGGUGGAUGGGGCCAGUCCACUGUCCACCAGGCCGGCCACGGGGCUGUGCUUUCUGUCCGCCAGGCCCAGUUAGCUGUCUUCCUCCUGGGAAGUAUUUACCUUGCUUUCCCCGGGUCUGGGUUCCCACACGGACACCCAUGGACACCCACAGUCCCUGGGUGCACCUCCCAGCACCAAGCACAUUAUCUCAGUUGUCUGUCAGAGUCUCUAGACUACUGGAAGAAAGAGACG
rnacentral:lncRNA from 1 species